AUUGAACGCUGGCGGCAUGCCUUACACAUGCAAGUCGAACGGUAACAGGUCUUCGGAUGCUGACGAGUGGCGAACGGGUGAGUAAUACAUCGGAACGUGCCUAGUAGUGGGGGAUAACUACUCAAAAGAGUGGCUAAUACCGCAUGAGAUCUACGGAUGAAAGCAGGGGAUCGCAAGACCUUGUGCUACUAGAGCGGCCGAUGGCAGAUUAGGUAGUUGGUGGGAUAAAAGCUUACCAAGCCGACGAUCUGUAGCUGGUCUGAGAGGACGAUCAGCCACACUUGGACUGAGACACGGCCCAGACUACUACGGGAGGCAGCAGUGGGGAAUUUUGGACAAUGGGCGAAAGCCUGAUCCAGCAAUGCCGCGUGCAGGAUGAAGGCCUUCGGGUUGUAAACUGCUUUUGUACGGAACGAAAAGCCCCGGGUUAAUACCCUGGGGUCAUGACGGUACCGUAAGAAUAAGCACCGGCUAACUACGUGCCAGCCGCCGCGGUAA
rnacentral:rRNA from 1 species